rnacentral:rRNA from 1 species
UACGUGGGGUGCGAGCGUUGUCCGGAAUUAUUGGGCGUAAAGAGCUCGUAGGCGGUGUGUCACGUCGGCCGUGAAAACCUGCAGCUUAACUGUGGGCGUGCGGUCGAUACGGGCAUCACUGGAGUUCGGCAGGGGAGACUGGAAUUCCUGGUGUAGCGGUGAAAUGCGCAGAUAUCAGGAGGAACACCGGUGGCGAAGGCGGGUCUCUGGGCCGAUACUGACGCUGAGGAGCGAAAGCGUGGGGAGCAAACAGG